ACCCGAGGGGACCACUUUCCCGGGAGGAGCCGGGUCUCACGAGAGCUCACGGCGGCCUCACGGGAUCUGGAGGGGUCUCGCAGAGUCUCGCGUGACCUCGGGAAGACGGAAUCCGGCAGGGAUUUCUGGGAGGGAGCUAAAUGGUCCGGCAUCCCGCGUGCUUCUCAGUCUGUCCCAGAGCUGUUUUUGAGGGAGGAGCCUGGCUCAUCCCGGUCUAGGACAGGAAUCCGCAUCCUGGCGGGAUGCCCCAGCCCCGCUGAGAGACAAAGGCCGGGCCAGGUGUCCAGGCCGGGGACAGGGCGAGCUCACGGGCGGUGCGGGGCAAAGCUCCGUGGAGCAAGAGGUGAGAACUCUGAGGCUGUGAAUAUGGGCCUUCCAGGAACCCUGGGGCCGGGCUGUGUCCUCCUGGGCGAGGUCCAGAGUCACCGCCAGUGAGCCUGCAUAGACCGCGAGCCCUGGGGCCGGGCCCUGUGCUCCUGGGCAAGGUCCAGAGUCACCGCCAGUGAGCCUGCAUAGACCGCGAGCCCUGGGGCCGGGCCCUGUCCCCCGUUGCAAGGUGCAGAGUCACCGAUAGUGAGCCUGCAGCCACUAGGUGUCUGAAAUGUGUCCCAGCACACCUUUGCACCUGCCUCCUGAGCCUUUCAGCAGCGGGAAAUCCUCCCACAGGCCGGUGGUAAAUUGGCCAGGGCUGAAGUCAUCAAGGGACAGUCAUUGGAGAAUUGUGACAUCUGAACGCUUGCAGCCGUGACCGCACGUCACCUGAGAGUGGCUGCACCAGUUUGCGAUCCCGCCAGCGGGGCAAGAAGGCUCCUCUUUCUCUACAUCCUUGCCAGCAUCUGUUUCCUGAGUUGUUCAGUAAAAAGAAUUAAUCACACAGGGAGACCGUGUGUCCUGAAAAAGGGAACAUAUCUGAGCUGAUGCUACCAAAGAGCCACAGUCCUCAUCCUUGAGUGAAGACCAUCUUGAGAAAGGGGUCUCUGCAUUCUCCUGACAUCUGACAGAUCACUGCACCAGACAGGAGGAGGAGAGCAGGCUCAGAGCCGUCUGUCACCGCCAAAAACACUGUGUGGUUGGUAGAUCAGCACAGAUAUCAUGCGAUGAACCAUCCAGUCAGAGAUUUCCUGAAGAAGCACAGCAAACAUAAAUCAGAGGAAAGUAAUUUUACUAUCAACAUUUUAGAAAGCCCGCAAAUAUCCUUUAAGAUUAUUAAAGAUGCAUUUGAAUGAGCUCGGCUCCGUCCUGUCCCUAAUUUUUAUCAGGCAUGCUGGCUUCAGAGCAGCUGAUGUGGUUCUUGAUUUCCCCAGGGGCUCCUGAGACGCUGCAGGCUUUCAAAUCAAGGGAGCCCUACUCCCCCAGAAUGAGAAUGAGCAAAUUUCUUUCCUGCCAAGAAUUCAGGAGUGCUUGAGAGAACAGAGUGUGCUUUCUCAAGAGUCUCCAGCAAAAUAUCUCUAACAAACAUGUGGAGGGGUUAAGAGAGAAUUCUUUAUUCCCCAGCGUUUUAAGAAACAGUUCAAGUUUUCCACUGUGCUGGAUAAGUCUAUCAUGGCUAAAAUAUCAAACUGGUGUUCAGAACAAUGCAAAUGACUUUGUAUCAUUGGAAGUAAAUACCGUUAAGAAUUCCACAUUAUCAUGUAGGAAUAAGCCACAUUCCCCACUAAAUGCCCUGUGGUGGCAAGGACUUCAACGAUACAGGGAGAGGAUGAGACAGACCUCAAGUUCAUUUCCCCUAAUUCCUGUGCCUAGGGAUUAUUACAACACCGUGUCACCUGACUUUACAUUUCCAGUCACCCCAGCAUCGGGGCCGGGUUUCAGAGUUCCUACACUAUUUCACUUUGUGUGUGUGGUCUGGGGCCACUGAUUUUGGCUGGUAGGUGGCAGUUCGGGGGAUCUUCUAUACAGGUCUCUGACGUUCUUGACUUCUUACUCUUCCUCUACCGAAAUCCUGUGUGUCUAAGUGCUGACAACAUAGGCAACAGCAUCUCUGGUCCCAUUGGUAGAGACUCUUAGCAGGGUCUGGCAUUUCCAAAUGUUUUAUGAAGUCAAAGCUUCUAGACUUUAAUUCUCCAAGAUUCUUGAUUCACUGAGCAUAGGAAUGGGCCAGGGGCCAGGCACUGUAAGGGGCAUACUAUUUUGAGGACUCAGUGAGCAGAGUCCAGUGAAUUAGGACUAGGACUUGAACAGGGAUUCCCAACAGGGUACCGUGUUGGCUCCCAACUCAGGAUCAUUUGGCAAAGUCGAUAUUUUUGGUUGUCCCACCUGGGAAGGAAUCCUGUUGGCAUCGAGGGGGUAGCUCCUAAACAUCCUGCAGGGCACAGAUUUAUCAUCCUGCAGCUCAGAAAGUCAACAGUGCUGAGAGUGAGAAUGUGUUCUGGAGAUACUGGACAUGGGAUAAGACGGGAUGAAGUUCUGUGACCCCACUUAUGGGUAAGGAUGGAGUCUCUAUCAGGGAGAGGAGGCUGUGUUAGGAUUCCAUGGGAGUUGGCAACAUAGAGAAUCCUAGGCUGAGUCUGGGGACUUGUCACGGCACAGUGCUGUAAUGAUCAGGGUCUUCGCUCAGACCCCUGAUAGUCGGGCAUCUCUUCUAGCCGAGGCACUCCACAUCUUGGGAUCUGGAUUCUUUGUCCAAUGCCUGAAGACACACUUCCUGAUCCUGGCCUGGUCAUGCUCACUGAAGGUUUGGGGAAAGGCCCUGGAGGAAAACAUACCAAGAGGGUUGGCAAAUGGCCAGCAUGCCUGGGUCUGGCUCGUGCAUGCACAGAUUUCUUCCUGUAUCUGGAACUGAUGUUCAGACUCAGCCCUUCGGCCAAAAGUGGGUCUUACGCAGACAUGCACCGAGAUGUCGAUGCACGGUUUGUCCUGAAAAAUGAGUGGCCACGCACCAAGACUUCUGCAUAAGAACCAAGGAACAUCCAUGACUGUGUGAGUGGAUUUCCCUAUUGUUUUAAACCUUGUGGCAUUGCUGGGCUUUGUUUAUUAGCUUCGUUGUGUAACUGGGCAGAAUGAAGAUGUGUGUGACUUCACUCCACAAACCUCCCUUGGUGUGCGUUCCUUGGGUGGAGUGUAGACCAGAUCUUCUUUUGAAGGGAUUUCCUCUGAAGGCCUUAUACGAGCAGUCUGUAUUUUCUUGUGGGUUUCGAUUUGUUUUUCAGCUUGAUUUAUCUUUAGAGCUAAAUACAAGUGAUAGAUGCUUUCCCCCGAAGAGAUCUGGGUGACAUGGUAGUUGCAUGUGAAUAAGAUGCUAGUGUUUGUUGGCUACACUGAAGGACUUGUACUGAGCUGGCACAGAGAAUGUACCCAGUUCUCUGCAUCCAAACAAUAGCCACGUCUUACAUUGUUUAGGAAUUCCUCCCGAAGGCCAAGCAAGGUGUGGCAGCAUCCCCUUAAAUCAGGAACACAUUAUUCAAGCCAAAUGAAUACUACAAGCAACAAAGCGCGUACCUUGCUAGGCUUUCAGACACAACUUGGUACUUGACGGCAAAUGUGUAAUUUAAAAUUGAUCAAAAGUGUUAAAAAUUAAAAACAAGCAUGCAGAUGUAAAUUUUUCAAAAGUUUGUUUUUCUGUUACCAACAUCAUUUAAGUAUUGUUCUUUCUUUGUAGAAUAACGCAAACGUGCGUGCGUUAUCCAGUGAGUAGAUACAGGAGUCAUAUUAAAUAGAUGAGAUUCAAGUGCAUCUUUGGAAUUUUGACUGUAAAGCCAUACUUCUAAAAUAAUCUGAAUAGUAUAUUCCCAGUCGUGGAGGAAUUAUUUCCCAAGAUGGGGGAACACAGGUGUCACUGUUCCAGAAAAAUGAUCUGGGUCAGGUUCCAACUCUGAUAGUUGAUCCUUAAUUUAUUCGCACAUGCUUCUAACUCUCAAGACUUUGCAGUGUUCUUUGACCGAGGGCCACUAUGUUUUUAAAGUUUUAUUUAUUUUAUUUUUUUGAGAGUAGGGGCAGAGAGAGAGAGGGAGAGAGAGAAUCCCAACCAGGCGCCGUGCUGUCAGUGCAGAACCCAAAGCGGGGCUUGAACUCAUGAACUGUGAGAUCAUGACCCGAGGUGAAAUCAAGAGUCAGACGCUUAACCGACUGAGCCACCUAGAUGCCCGUGGGGCCACUAUUUAAAUCAUUAGGUUGCCAAGAGAGGGGGAAAAAAUGAGUUUCAUUUCAUUCCUACACCACCUAAUGUAUGUGAAAAUCUCUUGGUAAAUUAUUGCAGGUUCUCUGCAUAAAAGGACUGCAAUUAAAUAGAUUCAGGUUGGGAAUGAAAAACUCUGCCGCAAUUUUGUGGUAAUUAGGAGGGCACACUCUGCCAGGUCUCCUAGGGAGAGCAGACUUGACUUGUUCUUUUCCUCCUUAAGCAGGUUCUGAAUCUUUAGAGUUCUAUCCUGAAUAAAUAGUAUGGGUAUAAAAUAUUCAGUGAUUGUUAAAGUGCAUUUUGGUAUACCGCUUUGGUUUCCAAAUAAUACAUUUUCUUAAUGUCGCUCUUUAUUUCCACCCUUUCUCUCCUCUUUCACAUACGUGUACACACAGGGCAUUUCACCCCCAACUGGUUUCCUCCCUCACUUCUUCUGUAUAGCAAAUAUUUGCCUCUACAAUUGUAAACAUGGUCCACAGUUCGUGACCUUAAAGCAAAUACCUCUCUCAGGAGACACAGGCACUUGAUGGAAAUCCCCACCAGCCUACAUUUCCUCAGUACACACUGCUCUUUGAUAAUAAUAAUAUGUACACUUGACCCUUGAAUGACACAGGGGAUACAAGUGCCAACCCCCAUGCAGUUGAAAAUACACAUAUAACUUUUGACUCGCCCAGAACUAAUAGCCUGCUGUUGACCUGAAGCCUGUUGACAUAAGUGGUUGAACCACACAUAUUUGGAUUUCUCUAAGCUACAGAAAAGAAAAUGUUAUUAAGAAAGUCAUAAGGAAGGGGUGCCUGGGUGGCUGAGUCAGUUAAGUGUCCGAUCCUUGAUUUCGGCU